AACAGCGAAUUGUAUAAAUGAUUUAAGGUAAUCAGGUCCACCUGAUUUGGAAUGUGGAACACGGUCGAACAAAUGUUUAUUAGAACGUAGCAAAAAAUGUUAUCUUUUCUUUACAACUGGAAACGGAGAAAUUUGGAAUGGUGGAAUAAGAAUCUUUUCUCUGCAUUGACUAACAAGGACCACACUUUGAAGGAAGACCAUAGUUCCACAAAACUCUCAGGAUGGGCAUCAAUGAGUCUAAAGCCUCUGACAGCACAGCAAAUGUGAUCAACACCGUUGUCGACCACAAGCAGGAUAUAGAAGCUAAUGAAAAUAUACAAGAGAUCCGUACAGCGGAGGAGGGACCAGCACCAUACCCUAGACAGGAUUGCAUCCGGCUUCCCACAAAGUGCUUAAUUGCAAAUACUAACGGCAAAACAAUGUGUUCAUGUCGAACAGCUGAGUCCGGUAUCCCGCCAGCAGAGCAUCGCUGUUGGGGGAAUGUACUUUUUGACCCGUUUUGGGAAUUGGGGCACGAAGCCGCCAUAUUCAUGUUUUGAAAUUACUGUUUUCAUUAUUUCUGGAAAUAUUUGGGACACACGGCUUUUCCGGCCCCCGACGUCAACAUUUUGUUUCUUCGACCGAGAUCUUCCAGCGCCUUUGCCGAGAUAAGUACAGUUUCAAAAUCCCCACCAUACAUAUAUGUAUAUACAUACGCAUAUAUAUUGCUGCGAUCAAAAUCUGCUCUUUAUCAACUACUUGCCACCUGCGCAAUAAUAUAUGUACGUGUGUAUAUGCUGUAUGUAUCCACUCCCAUUUGUGUUUUGUCCAAACAACUCAACUUUCCAAUAAAAACACCUAAUUCAGAUCCGCCACAGAUCUACAUACACAUAAACAUACAGACAUUCCAUGUAUGGUGGCCGAUCUAUGAACAUACAUAUGUCCAUUGCAUCUGCAUACAUUGCGUACAUGGCACAUACGCAAAGUCGUACAUCUGCAUGGUUAUAGGGUGUUUCAUCAAUCGCCAAAACAUUCAAUUGGGAAAGUGAAAAGGGAUCAGACAUUAAUUUCAUCCAACAUAUGUACAUACAUAUAUUAAUGUUAUUGUUUAUUUUGACAUACACGAAAGCUCCCACACACACGACAAAGCACAACCGAUUUGUUGGACCGGCAGAUAAGAACCGGCUGCAGCCAACUCUAGCGACGAACACAUCCAAAAACACAACCUCCAGCGCAGUAAGAGAAAACGCUAUAGUCUAUGUUUUUGGAGUCUGUAUGCCGAAACUCAACAAACAAAUAAUAAUUAUAUUAACAUAUUGCAUACACAUAUAUGUACCAGCAUAUGUACGAAUAUAUAUUAGAUGUCAAGGUAGGCCAUAUACGGCAUAUUCCAAUUAGAGGGCUGCAUAACACCAUUCUAUUUGUUUGCAUUUAGAGUACUCAUUCGUUUUAGUAUGUAU